rnacentral:rRNA from 1 species
GCUAAACGCGAAGAACCUUACCAAGGCUUGACAUACACCAGAACACCCUAGAAAUAGGGGACUCUUUGGACACUGGUGAACAGGUGGUGCAUGGUUGUCGUCAGCUCGUGUCGUGAGAUGUUGGGUUAAGUCCCGCAACGAGCGCAACCCUCGUUCUAUGUUGCCAGCACGUAAUGGUGGGAACUCAUGGGAUACUGCCGGGGUCAACUCGGAGGAAGGUGGGGAUGACGUCAAAUCAUCAUGCCCCUUAUGUCUUGGGCUUCACGCAUGCUACAAUGGCCGGUACAAAGGGCCGCAAUACCGUAAGGUGGAGCGAAUCCCAAAAAGCCGGUCUCAGUUCGGAUUGAGGUCUGCAACUCGACCUCAUGAAGUCGGAGUCGCUAGUAAUCGCAGAUCAGCAACGCUGCGGUGAAUACGUUCCC